UGGCCGUUUCCACUUCACCGGGUGGGGGGGGGUGCGAAAUGUAAGUGGAUCGGCCAGGGGAGGGAGCCAGCACUAAGUACUUAUUUAAUAAAUAAAUAAAGGCAAAAAAAUGACAAGUCAGCCAUGGGCCCUCAAAAUAAGUGUGCCCUGGGCAGCUGCCCACUUAUUAAAGCAGCCCUGCCCCUGGAGCCAGCACCCCCCUCUGAAAGCAGCAUCAGUAGUUUGAUCAGUAGAAAAGCUCCGUUGUUUCACAGUAGCUCCUCUCCUUCUGCAGCUCCCCCUCCCCUUUCACUAACCAUGUGGAAAUAAAGGUGGACUGAACUUUCCUGACACAUAUAAGUCUGUAUGCGAGUAGUGAGACACAUGAGUGUAGCUGCUCCAGUUUGAUUUUGCUGCUUAUCUGAUACUCACGUGUCUCACUACUCGCAUACAGACUUAUAUGUGGCAGGAAAGUUCAGUCCACCUUUAUUUCCACAUGGUUAGUGAAAGGGGAGGGGGAGCUGCAGAAGGAGAGGAGCUACUGUGAAACAACAACGGAGCUUUUCUACUGAUCAAACUACUGAUGCUGCUUUCAGAGGGGGGAGAGAAGGAGUUCUUUCCCUCAUACGCUAAGAACCAUAAUUAGUGUAAGUCACAGGUUCUAAUCAUCACUUGUACAGUUCCCACACACAGAGACAGCUUCCCAUAUUAGGCCAGCAAAACACUAGCACGCCACAGCCCCACCAAUGAGCGUGUCCCUGGGCGGAGCUUAACUUGUAUCACAGCGGCUCCCGCUAAAAAGCAGGAGAGUAUGUUGGUGCCCAGGCAAUACAAAAUUGACCCGCAUGUCCCGGUGGUUCUAUUGAAUCCCCCUCCCGCACACAGUCCUGCAGUGCCGGGGAAUUCAUGGCAGCGCUGGGGCAGGAACCUGUGCCCUGGUGCAGCAGCCAGACUCAGCCACUUGUUGGAUUCACUGCGGGUAGCCAAUGAGAAUUUAGGGUACUAGUCCCGUUAUCUCUGUCCAAUCAGAAGCUGGAGUACGUGUGACGUGACUCUACUGUUAGUGACAUGAAAGAAUCCUGUCCCGCUGUCAAACUCUAUGGUACAGGUGUAACUAAGGGAGACCGUUAUUAGCUCAGGCUGUAAUCUCAACACAUUCCCAAUGUAAUGGCAAAGCAAUGAUUAGUAAGUAACUGCACGUCACGCUGCUGCUUUGGAAUUUCUUACGCGAUGGAGUUAUGAGGAAAACGUGAUGCGGCUGCUGCCUACAUCCAUCUUCAGUAGCCGAGACGAGCAGCUGAGGAACAUGUGGAAAUGUCCCCGAGCCAUCGCGCCGAAUGACAGGAAGUAGGUCUCAAUCAUUUCACUAAUUGCACUUGUUGCGCUGAGUUAGUCUGGUAGGGUAUCGGCAAUAGAUGCAGACACUGGCAGUGGCCUCACUACUUCCCCAGGGGACUCCCAGACAAUAUGGUGUGAGCUGCAGGAAGGGGGGAAGCCUGAGGGAAACACAACUCUAGACCCAGGGCUCAAAUGUAUUUAUUAAGAGACUUCCUGGGAACUUUCUGCUGAGAUGCCGGGAGUGUGAGCCGUGGCUUGGAAGGGGGGUAUGUACCUGCUGAUUAACAGUGUGCAGCCUGGAUUAGAAAUAUCCAAGUAUUUCAACUGUAGAGAAUCACACACACAUAGCCCUGGUCACAUGCUCCAUGGUCACAUGACCCAGAUAACUGCCGUUUUUCUGUCAGUUAGGUGAGACGAUCAGCCGAAGAACAGGUGAUUUCCUCUGCGCUUUUGGACCUGACCUGACACGUCCAAAAUUGGAAGAAGGAGAUGAAAGAGAGAAGAUGACAAAGGAUUUGCGGAUCUCCUGUUUCCUAGAGAAUGCAGAUGCUGCCUGAUCCCCAGACAGGUAGGCUGCUUUCACUCCUGGUUUGGCAGCUGAAGAGUCUCGAAGCACCGCACUCUUCCUCUUGUCUAUGUUCAUUGAUGCCUGAGCCUGUGCAGUGCUGCUAUUGCUCCUCUGUGAUGAGUCAAGUGCUUUGGUAAACCGACUGCGACAGACAAACACGCCGUGCUUGGGUUUGCAGCGGAAAUGCUCCUUGCCUUUUACUGUCCCUUCAUGUUUGCCUUAAAUCAGAAUAAAACAUUUUAUUUAUUUAUUUUUAAA